rnacentral:rRNA from 1 species
GACGAACGCUGGCGGCGUGCUUAACACAUGCAAGUCGAACGGUAAGGCCCUUCGGGGUACACGAGUGGCGAACGGGUGAGUAACACGUGGGUGAUCUGCCCUGCACUUCGGGAUAAGCCUGGGAAACUGGGUCUAAUACCGGAUAGGACCACUGCCUGCAUGGGUGGUGGUGGAAAGCUUUUGCGGUGUGGGAUGGGCGCGCGGCCUAGCAGCUGGGUGGUGGGGUGAAGGCCGAACAAGGCGACGACGGGUAGCCGGCCUGUGAGGGUGACCGGCCCAACUGGGACUGAGUUACGGCCCAGACUCCUACGGGAGGCAGCAGUGGGGAAUAUUGCACAAUGGGCGCAAGCCUGAUGCAGCGACGCCGCGUGAGGGAUGACGGCCUUCGGGUUGUAACCCUCUUCCAGCACCGACGAAGCGCAAGUGACGGUAGGUGCAGAAGAAGGACCGGCCAACUACGUGCCAGCCGCCGCCGUAA